CGUUUUCACUGAGAGCUGAAUAAAUGCACCCCCUCCCCCACUCGGACGCAAUAACCCAGCUCAUUGGGUCAAAUCAACUCAGCGCAGGAUCAGCGCAGCGCGGGCUGACUGAAUUCGAGGUGGAGGUGGAUGCCACACACACGCUGUAAUUUUUGGAGAAAUAAGACCUGCUCUUGACUGUCCGUGGUGGCAAACCCACAGCCUUUCGCUCGAGUAGAAUCAACCGUAUCUGAAGAGAGAGCUGAGGAAAUUAAACAAUGACUGAGAAACAACACACAGCCCAUCAGCCAGGUGGAACAGUACAUGCGAAAAAUAUGUUUGAGGUCCUCAUUGAGUUUCCUCGGCUAACUACCCCAGGCAUGGUAUGUUAACA